UACGGAGGGGGCUAGCGUUGUUCGGAAUUACUGGGCGUAAAGCGCACGUAGGCGGAUCAGCAAGUUAGGGGUGAAAUCCCGGGGCUCAACCCCGGAACUGCCUUUAAAACUGUUGGUCUGGAGUCCGAGAGAGGUGAGUGGAAUUCCGAGUGUAGAGGUGAAAUUCGUAGAUAUUCGGAGGAACACCAGUGGCGAAGGCGGCUCGCUGGCUCGGUACUGACGCUGAGGUGCGAAAGCGUGGGGAGCAAACAGG
rnacentral:rRNA from 1 species